rnacentral:rRNA from 1 species
CCCUUAGAUGUUCUGGGCCGCACGCGUGCUACACUGAGUGGAUCAGCGGGUCAGGUUGCGCGAAAGUGUUUCCUAAUCUUGAAAUCCGCUCGUGAUGGGGAUUGACGGUUGCAAUUUUCCGUCAUGAACGAGGAAUACCUUGUAAGCGCGGGUCAUCAUCCCGCGCUGAAUACGUCCCUGCCCUUUGUACACACCGCCCGUCGCUCCUACCGAUUGAGUGCUACGGUGAAUAAUCCGGACUGCAGCAACGUUCGGUUCCUGAAUGUUGCAGUGGACAGUUUAGUGGACCUUAUCACUUAGAGGAAGGAGAAGUCGUAACA